rnacentral:rRNA from 1 species
UACGUAGGUGGCAAGCGUUGUUCGGAAUGACUGGGCGUAAAGGGAGCGUAGGUUGUUUUUUAAGUUAAAUGUGAAAGCCCGGGGCUUAACUCCGGAAUGUCAUUUAAUACUGGAAAACUAGAGUGCAGGAGGGGUAAGAGGAAUUCCUAGUGUAGCGGUGGAAUGCAUAGAUAUUAGGAAGAACACCAGAGGCGAAGGCGUCUUACUGGACUGUAACUGACACUGAGGCUCGAAAGCGUGGGGAGCAAACAGGAUUAGAUACCCUGGUAGUCCACGCCCUAAACGAUGGAUACUAAACGUGGGAGGUAUCGACUCCUUCCGUGUUGAAGCAAACGCGAUAAGUAUCCCGCCUGAGGAGUACGGCCGCAAGGUUGAA